rnacentral:rRNA from 1 species
CCCCUAGUAACUGCGAGUGAAGCGGGAAGAGCUCAAAUUUUGAAUCUGGCGGUCUUUCGGCCGUCCGAGUUGUAAUCUAGAGAAGUGUUUUCCGCGCUGGACCGUGUACAAGUCUCCUGGAAGGGAGCGUCAUAGAGGGUGAGAAUCCCGUCUCUGACACGGACCCCCAGUGCUAUGUGAUGCGCUCUCGACGAGUCGGGUUGUUUGGGAAUGCAGCUCAAAUCGGGUGGUAAACUCCAUCUAAAGCUAAAUAUAGGCGAGAGACCGAUAGCGAACAAGUACCGUGAGGGAAAGAUGAAAAGAACUUUGGAAAGAGAGUUAAACAGUACGUGAAAUUGCUGAAAGGGAAACGCUUGAUGUCAGUCGCGUCGGCCAGGAAUCAACCUUGCAUUUUGCUGGGCGUAUUUUCUGGUCGACGGGUCAGCAUCAGUUUCGAUCGUCGUACAAGGGUGAAGGGAAUGUGGCACUCUUCGGGGUGUGUUAUAGCCUUUCGUCGUAUGCGAUGGUCGGGACUGAGGAACUCGGCACGGCUCUGCUUGUGCUCA